GUCCCCGUGGCGCAAUGGAUUAGCGCAUUGGACUUCUAACGUACUAUGGUAGCGAUUCAAAGGUUGCGGGUUCGAGUCCCGCCGGGGAUG
rnacentral:tRNA from 1 species